UGUAUUUUAAAACACGGACGGUUUGUUCAAUAGAUUCCCCUUAACUAGACAAGCCUGAAAACUUGUAAAAUAAUAUUUAACAAUCAUUUUUGAAUUAAUACUAUACUACUACUAUAUAGCCGUAGAGAAAUUUCGCUCUGCAAACAAUGUUUAAAUAUGAACACUUCAUCUCCAGUGCCCUUCAAUAUAUAAGAGAUUACUUUUAAGUGCAGCGUGGUUGAAAUAAUCACUGGAUUGCAUAUUGACACCUAUAUUUUUACUUACGUGCUC